UCAGUUGUGUUCAGGGGACAUGUGUG
rnacentral:piRNA from 1 species